CAAACUGAAAUGGUUCACACUGCCACCUAGACUGUGUUUGAACAGGUUGCGUUGGACAAUGUUGAUGAUGGCAGUCCAACUAGCAGGGCGAGAGGCAGGGCUAGAGGGAGAGCCAGAGGACGGACAGGCAGAGGCAGGCAGCAGAGAGACAGAAAUGAGGAUGAGGAGAGGCUUUUUGCUCUCUGACAUGAUAGAAUGGCUGCCACACAGGAAUUCCUCAUCACGAAGCUGGAUUAUGCAGACAACAGAGCGGUGGUGCGAGAGCCAGGAUUGGUUUUUGAUGUCCUAGAGAUUUACCGACAGCGGAAUGGCCGGUUGUGGUUGGUCCUCUCCAGGAGUCUGAGGUGUGGGAGGUUCCUCCGCCCCCUCUGGACAAUGAGGGGGCCCCGACAUAUUCAGUUCGUACUUUACUGGACUCGAGUUGCCGGGCAAGGGGCCUUCAGUACCUCUUGGAGUGGGAGGGGUAUGGUCCAGAGGAGAGGUGCUGGGUUCCGGUGGAGGACGUGUUGGACCCUUCAAUGCUGCGGGAGUUCCACCGUCUCCGUCCGGACCGCCCUGCGCCUCGCCCUCCGGGUCAUCCCUGAGGCCGGCGUCGGCGCGCUGCUGGAGCCGCGCGUCAAGGGGGGUACUGUCACGACUUUCACAAAGUCUGUUCCUCUCCUUGUUUGGGCGGCACUUGGCGGUCGACGUCGCCGGUCUUCUAGCCAUCGCCGAUCCACUUUUCAUUUGUUUUGUCUUUGUUUCCCACACACCUGGUUUUCAUUUCCCAAUUACUGGUCAUGUAUUUAACCCUCUGUUUCCCCCAUGUCUUUGUGUGUGAUUGUUUAUUAUUCAGGUUGGUACGUUUCCGGCUGGUUUUGUCCGGGUGCUGUUUUCACAUGUUUUUUGUGGCAACCGUUAUUGUUCGCACAUUGGUACUGUUACUUGUGCUAUUUCUUAAGUAAAGUGCUUUGUUCACACA
rnacentral:lncRNA from 1 species